AAACGCCUGCCUGGUGGAAAUGUUCCAAAGCUCCCGAAAACUGCCUAGGACUGCCUGAUAUCAAGGAGGCGGUGGCACCCCCACCGCCUGGCAGGCCUGGCUCCGGGACGGGCUUCUCCGCGAGAGGCCGAGCUCGCCCCAGGGCGGGAAAGGAAGCCAGAAAGCUCGAGGCGCCAAGGACGGGAGCUUGGCGGGGGCGAUAGAGUCCGAGGCCGGGCAGCCGGCACCCGCCCGGAGCGCAAACGAAAGCGUGAGAGGGAGGGAGCGUCGGAGCCAACCUUUCCAUUUUCCUUUUGGGUUAAUGUUUUCUUCUCCAUUUUAUGACAUUUUACUCGAUUUUACCCGUUUGUAGUUGUAAAGUAAGGAGGUAUUUACUCUUUCUGGAAUUAAAUGAGAGAAAGUUAA